CGGGGUGUGGCUCAGUUGGUAGAGUGCUGCGUUCGGGACGCAGAGGUCGUGAGUUCGAAUCUCGCCACCCCGA
rnacentral:tRNA from 1 species